rnacentral:lncRNA from 1 species
UUUAAGAUGUCAAGACAAAAAGAAAAUAUUUGUUAAACAUUUUAAACAGCUGAAACUACACUAAAAAUCACAACUCAGAGUGAAACUAACAGGCUCGUUUUCUAAGGGGAGAUCGGACAUGAUAGAUGUUUUUCCCAGCCUGUCUUCUAAGUAUCCACAUCACACUCGCAGAUGGCCCUUCCAUCUGACAAAUCGUGUACUAAUUAUUUUUCAAAAUGUGUAUGAGUUGAAGAUCUCCCUAAUGACUGUGCAACUAUUCAAAUGUUGAACACAACUUAGUUGGAGAAAUGUGGAGAAGUCUGGCUGGGAAGGGAAGAAGAAGCAGGAAAUCAGGGCUAAGCCAAGACGUACAGCUGGAGCAGGAGUCAGAACGGGCUGGCAGAGAGCGCUGAGCUCCCAGCAGGGGAAGAAACCAAAGAACAUGGAGGCUCCUGCGACGAGAGGCCUGAAACGAAUAUGUGCUGCGAAGCAGUAGGAAGUGCCCCGCAGUCUGAUUCCCCUAGCAGAGAGACUGGCCUUGUGGCGGAAGACCCCCGCGCGUAGGGAGGGC